UUCUCAUAUUUUUUGUCCGGCUGUGUUGUUUGACGGUCUCAAAUACAACUUUUUGGUGUUCUUGGUUGAGGCUAGAGAAAGGAAGGUGUUUUAGUUCUCUUCACCGGUCCAGUCUCAAGUUGGUGGUUUCAUAUCCAUAGCUCUCGUUCUCACGGAGGUUUUGAUAAAUGGUUCGUCGGUGGUGGCGUUUGUCCGGCCAUAUAUGUGGCUGGUGUUUCCAGAUACGUUUUUGCUAUCCCAGUUAGGGAUUAGUCCUUGUUACCUGAUAGAAGCAAUGUAGCGGCUGAAGAGAUUGCCAAAAGUGUUACUCGUGACAAUAGGCGUACGGGGUCCAUCUUGGUUAUCUGACCUCAUCCUUGCUGAGGCGAUUUCAACUAUCAACCAGCAUCCUACAUGAAGCUUGGGUCAAGACAGUCUCCCGGGAGGUCUUCCCUAAUCAAGCUUCCUUGGUUAGCUUCAUCUGCAGAA
rnacentral:lncRNA from 1 species